GACUCCUACGGGAGGCAGCAGUGGGGAAUCUUGCACAAUGGAGGAAACUCUGAUGCAGCGAUGCCGCGUGAGUGAAGAAGGCCUUUGGGUUGUAAAGCUCUUUUGUAGGGGAAGAUAAUGACUGUACCCUAAGAAUAAGGUCCGGCUAACUUCGUGCCAGCAGCCGCGGUAAUA
rnacentral:rRNA from 1 species